UACGUAGGCAGCGAGCGUUGUUCGGAAUUACUGGGCGUAAAGAGUGUGUAGGCGGUGCUCUAAGUUCGGUGUGAAAUCUCCUGGCUUAGCUGGGAGGGUGCGCCGGAAACUGGAGUGCUCGAACGUGGGAGAGGAAAGCGGAAUUCCUGGUGUAGCGGUGAAAUGCGUAGAUAUCAGGAGGAACACCUGCGGUGUAGACGGCUUUCUGGACCAUUGUUGACGCUGAGACACGAAAGCGUGGGUAGCAAACAGG
rnacentral:rRNA from 1 species